CGGCGGUUCUGGAUGGAAAUCCCUUAACUUGCAUGGGGUGCAAGGGGUCGCGAGUUCGAAUCCCGCCACGCCGACCA
rnacentral:tRNA from 1 species